rnacentral:rRNA from 1 species
CAACCCGGGCAUUGCCUUAGUAACGGCGAGUGAAGCGGCAAAAGCUCAAAUUUGAAAUCUGGUACCUUCGGUGCCCGAGUUGUAAUUUGGAGAGGGCAACUUUGGGGCCGUUCCUUGUCUAUGUUCCUUGGAACAGGACGUCAUAGAGGGUGAGAAUCCCGUGUGGCGAGGAGUGCGGUUCUUUGUAAAGUGCCUUCGAAGAGUCGAGUUGUUUGGGAAUGCAGCUCUAAGUGGGUGGUAAAUUCCAUCUAAAGCUAAAUAUUGGCGAGAGACCGAUAGCGAACAAGUACAGUGAUGGAAAGAUGAAAAGAACUUUGAAAAGAGAGUGAAAAAGUACGUGAAAUUGUUGAAAGGGAAGGGCAUUUGAUCAGACAUGGUGUUUUGUGCCCUCUGCUCCUUGUGGGUAGGGGAAUCUCGCAUUUCACUGGGCCAGCAUCAGUUUUGGUGGCAGGAUAAAUCCAUAGGAAUGUAGCUUGCCUCGGUAAGUAUUAUAGCCUGUGGGAAUACUGCCAGCUGGGACUGAGGACUGCGACGUAAGUCAAGGAUGCUGGCAUAAUGGUUAUAUGCCGCCCGUCUUGAACMCCGGGACCAA